GAUGAACGCUGGCGGCGUGCCUAAUACAUGCGAGUCGAGCGAACAGACGAGGAGCUUGCUCCUUCGACGUUAGCGGCGGACGGGUGAGUAACACGUAGGUAACCUACCCAUAAGACUGGGAUAACUUCGGGAAACCGGAGCUAAUACCGGAUAAUAUUUCGAACCGCAUGGUUCGAUAGUGAAAGAUGGCUUUGCUAUCACUUAUAGAUGGACCUGCGCCGUAUUAGCUAGUUGGUAAGGUAACGGCUUACCAAGGCAACGAUACGUAGCCGACCUGAGAGGGUGAUCGGCCACACUGGAACUGAGACACGGUCCAGACUCCUACGGGAGGCAGCAGUAGGGAAUCUUCCGCAAUGGGCGAAAGCCUGACGGAGCAACGCCGCGUGAGUGAUGAAGGUCUUCGGAUCGUAAAACUCUGUUAUUAGGGAAGAACAAACGUGUAAGUAACUGUGCACGUCUUGACGGUACCUAAUCAGAAAGCCACGGCUAACUACGUG
rnacentral:rRNA from 1 species